rnacentral:rRNA from 1 species
AUACGGAAGGUCCGGGCGUUAUCCGGAUUUAUUGGGUUUAAAGGGAGCGCAGGCGGAGAUGCAAGCGUGACGUCAAAUUUCGGGGCUCAACCCCGUCUCGCGUCGCGAACUGCGUCCCUUGGUUGCGGGAAGGGGAGGCGGAACUCGUGGUGUAGCGGUGAAAUGCAUAGAUAUCACGGAGAACUCCGAUCGCGAAGGCAGCCUUCCGGCCCGUCAACGACGGUUAUGCUCGAAGGUGCGGGUAUCAAACAGGAUUAGAUACCCUGGUAGUCCGCACAGUAAACGAUGGACACCCGCGGUUUGGCCUGUAUGGCUGAGCCGCCAAGCGAAAGCGUUAAGUGUCCCACCUGGGGAGUACGCUGGCAACGGUGAAGCUCAAAUGAAUUGACGGGG